rnacentral:rRNA from 1 species
AACGAACGCUGGCGGCGUGCCUAAUACAUGCAAGUCGAGCGAAUGACGAGGAGCUUGCUCCUCUGAUUUAGCGGCGGACGGGUGAGUAACACGUGGGUAACCUGCCUGUAAGACGGGGAUAACUCCGGGAAACCGGAGCUAAUACCGGAUGAUAACGAGAAGCGCCUGCUUCUUUUUUGAAAGUCGGUUUCGGCUGACGCUUACAGAUGGGCCCGCGGCGCAUUAGCUAGUUGGUGAGGUAACAGCUCACCAAGGCGACGAUGCGUAGCCGACCUGGGAGGGUGAUCGGCCACACUGGGACUGAGACACGGCCCAGACUCCUACGGGAGGCAGCAGUAGGGAAUCUUCGGCAAUGGACGAAAGUCUGACCGAGCAACGCCGCGUGAGCGAUGAAGGCCUUCGGGUCGUAAAGCUCUGUUGUCAGAGAAGAACAAGUACCGGAGUAACUGCCGGUACCUUGACGGUACCUGACCAGAAAGCCACGGCUAACUACGUGCCAGCAGCCGCCGUAAAAC